AUGUACCACUCGUACACUGCGGUUCCGGCGCGCCGCCCGCGCCCCCCUGGCGGC
rnacentral:sRNA from 1 species